CCGAGUGGGUUACCCCAAUGAAAAUAUUUUAGCAAGAGAAAACAGGAAGAGCCAAGAGAUUCAGUAAAGAAGUACAAAGCAUGUUCAGAUACCCUCAUAGAGAUGGCCUGGAGAUGGCCCUCCAUCCAUUUAGCUACCAGUACGCAAGGAAUUUGAAAUAUACUGAGUAACAUGGCACUAUGUUAUGCUCUCGGGAUUGUAUGGCCUUGGAUUCCAAUAGCUUCAGCUUCACAGGUUAAGACAGACAAGCAAGCAGACAAUUAUAACAGCCUUACCAGCGGCAUGAAGGACCAGGCAUGGUGCUAAGAGUGUCCCUCCACAGGAGGAGACAGUGAAAGGCAAGGCUGGAGAAGUAGGGCCAGCUUAGGAAAGGUUUGCACAUGCUAUAUCAAGGAGGUAACAUUUUAUUUUAGAGCCACUGAGCCGUCAAGAAGAUUUUGGGCCAGGUGUGGUGGUGCAUGCCUGUAAUUCCAACCCCUCGGAGGUGGAGGCAGGAAGACAACAAUGGAUUGCAUGAGACAAGACAAGGCAUGAUAGACAGAAGAUGGCAUCAACCACACUCUCAGUCUCUAGUUUGGGCAACUUGGAGGGCAGGGGCACAUCCACUGAUAAGGAGCAGGGUUAGUGGGUACCAUGCUGAGUUUAGUCUGGCAUGCGUUGAGGUGAGAUGCCGCAUUUCAGAAGUCCACCAGGCUCAUAGAGUGUGACCUCAUUUUCUGGAGCCAUGGCCAGCAGUGGGUGGACACAUAGAGCAGCUGAAGUCAUGAGAGCCUGUGAUACUUCCCGAGGACCGUGCAUAGAGAAGAGGAUCAAAGACAGCCUUGGAGAACAAAGAGCAAGUAGAGGCAGAUGCGGGGGCAAACAGACAGAUACGAAGAAGUGCAGAGAUGUUGGAGAAAAGUCAGCAGCAAUGAGCUGAGCAGAAAGUUCAAAGGAGAGAGGUGAACAGUGCCUGCUGUGGAAAGGGGUGAAGUGUGGUAGGAAAUGAGCAGGGACCACGGGUCGGGCAGUGAGGCUUGCAGGCGAGGGGCUGGAGAAGUAAGAGUGAUGAAGGCCAGAGCGCAGCGGAAGAGUGAAAGAAGGAUUGUGCACAGUGAGCGCUCUGCCAGCAGAUUCGCUGGUGAAAGGAGGGGAGAACAAAGAGAGCAGACUGAAGGAGAAUAAAACAGGAGGCGUUUUGAUUUUUAACGAAUAGAGGAGGUUGGCAUAUUUGUAGGCAGGGAGGGGAAGCCAGCAGAAAGGAAAGGAUGAAGCCACUGUAGGAAGAGGUUUCUGAAUGGGAGGAGCCUGUUCUCAUUGCUAAUCAGAAUCUGUCCUGUUACCUGCCGAAAUGAACACAAGAAUAAACUGGUUGUGUAGCCGUAAGUACUUAAAACGACAUUUAACUCCUGGAGCGGCCGUAGCGGGAAUGUGCUUCACAUCUUGGUAACAUUAGUCUGGUGGGAGGUACCAACUGACUUGAGACGCGCGCGUCUCCUGGGUCUGUCCCUGCGCACAUGUGUUCCUGUCUGUCUCAAGUCAUCUAUUGCAGAAGUUUCUGGUCCCAAUCCUGGCUGGGGUUCUCAUUUUGUUCAUUUGCCACCUCUUUAACCCCUUUAAAAAUGUCAUUCGAAGCCAUCUUUCCCUGCUUUUCAACUCCAGGGCUCUAUGCAUCUGUGGUCUUACUUCAGUUCAGUUCUCCGCACAGACCCGAGUCCCUUGCCUGUGUGCUAAAUGUUGGUGCUCCAGAGAUACAAUGAAGAUGAGCCGCCGUCAUAGAGGGCUCCCCGCCAUCUCUCAUGCCAGCCCCUCUCUGGAAGAAUGAGAAAAUGGGGCGAGAAGACGCCAUGGGAUCUGAGCAGCGGGCACUUCAGACUCACUGAGUUUCAUGGGGCACAGUGGGGUUCACAGGAAGGCAGGGCACAGGUAGAACUAGAGGUGUCAGAGAUGAUGUUUCAUUCUGUACUUGGAUAUUGCUUUAUUUGGGCCUUUUGCGGUCUGGCAGCCAAGGAAGAGAAGCAGCCAACCUGGCGUAUAUCUUUUGGGCACGGCAGACUGUCAGUAGGGCAGGUUUUUCCAGGUCCAAGCUAGCUGGGGGGAUACGGGCUGCAGCGAUGUGAUUCAAAUGAGAGUGCUAUGGAGGAGGCAGGUUCUUACUGACUGUAGCUAAAGUGCUCCGACCAGUGGUAGGGACGCUGAAGGUGUGCCCAGUAUACGUUAGCUAAAAUUAAGGCAAGGUGAGUGCCUCUCUUUUAUCGUUGACAGUAGAGGCCUGAGGCACUCCCUCUGGUGGACAGACGAGGUGGCGUUGGAUCUGGAACGUUCCCCAGAGCCCCAUGCACCUAGAGGCAGGGCUUGUGGAAGGUGGCUGAAAUAUGGGGUCUGUACAGAGGACUUGCGACUGGGGAGGAGAGGCUUAGCUGAAAGCGGGUUACUGGGGAUAUGACCUGGACGGGUAUGCCUCUAUCCCAGCUCCUCCCUUCUCCAUUUCCUGGCUCUCAUGACCUCAGCCACUUACCUCCCUGACAGGUCCUUCCACAAAACCACUAUAGGGUGCAACUGUGAGUGAAAAUAAACUGC